UUAUAUGAUGAACAAUUUAUAGCUGAUCCUAAUGAAGAAUUACAAUACGAGCUUUUUAACACUGAACAAA